CUGGGCUUUCUGGGUCCAGGCAGCAGUAUGCUCAGGGAGGCAGCUACGGUGCAGAGAAAGGGAGCGCUGGACUUGGAGUCAGAAGACCUGAG
ensembl:miRNA